rnacentral:lncRNA from 1 species
UUUUUUUUUUUAAUUUUAUUUAUUUUUGAGACAGGACCUCACUCUGUCACACGGGCUGGAGUCCAGUGGCACGACUGUAGCUUACUGUAGCCUCAAACUUCUGGGCUCGAGUGAUCCUCCUGCCUCAGCUUCCUGAGUAGCUAGGACAACAGGCACCGUCAGCACACCCAGCUAAUUUGUGAAUUUUUUGUAGAGAUGGCAUCUCACUAUGUUGCCCACUAUGUUGUUCAGGCUGGUCCUGACCUCCUAGGCUCAAGUAAUCCUCCUGCCUCAGCCUCCCAAAGUGCUGGGAUUAUAGGUGUCAACCACCAUGCCCAAAAUAAAGAUAUGGAUAUCUUUUGAGGUACCACUUUUGGCCUCCCCCAGACCUCACCACCCCACAUUACUAUCCUCCUUACGAUGGCUUCUAGACUGUGGGGGAAGGGGCAGCAGCCAGGAAUCUUUCCUUAUUCCAUCCUGGAAGUAGAGGGGAAACUGGAGGUAGGAAGGGAAGAGAUGGUCUUCUUACUCUGGACUCACGUGCUUUUGCUUAUGUUCUUACUGAGUUGUCCCAACUGGAUUAUCAGAUAGGGAUUCAUAUUCCAAUAUUAUGGAAUUAUGGGUGAAGAAACUGAGGCUCAUAGAUGAAAUAACUUGCCCAAGAAACUCGCCCAGCUAAUGGGUGUCAGAGUCAGGAUUCAAAGCCAGGUUGGUCUGGCUCUGAAAUUCAUACUGAUUCCACUGUUCUGGGGAUGACAAUGGGAAACCCACAGUGAAGGUUCCAGCUCUGCCCUGCUGCUAUCACUGCCUCUGCCUUCUACUGUAAGUGCACACUGAGAGUUCACAGCUUCUUUAAAACAGCACCCUGUCUUUGGCCCUCAAGAACCCUGGAUGCAUUCAUGGCUGUCAGAUCUCUUGGAGAAGGCAGUCACUGGGAGACAGGGUUCUGGUUUACCCUUGUCUACACUGGCUGAAGUACUGGCUUACCCUUGUCUGCACUGGCUGAAGCCAUGCAGAGAGGAGUGGGUA